CAGACACAUACUGAAUGGUUAAGUGCCUUCUUUGGGAGAAGGAUCUAGGUAGUUCGAUUCUACCGUGUCUGA
rnacentral:tRNA from 1 species